AUUGAACGCUGGCGGCAUGCCUUACACAUGCAAGUCGAACGGUAACAGGUCUUCGGAUGCUGACGAGUGGCGAACGGGUGAGUAAUACAUCGGAACGUGCCCGAUCGUGGGGGAUAACGAAGCGAAAGCUUUGCUAAUACCGCAUACGAUCUACGGAUGAAAGCAGGGGACCGCAAGGCCUUGCGCGAACGGAGCGGCCGAUGGCAGAUUAGGUAGUUGGUGGGAUAAAAGCUUACCAAGCCGACGAUCUGUAGCUGGUCUGAGAGGACGACCAGCCACACUGGGACUGAGACACGGCCCAGACUCCUACGGGAGGCAGCAGUGGGGAAUUUUGGACAAUGGGCGAAAGCCUGAUCCAGCCAUGCCGCGUGCAGGAUGAAGGCCUUCGGGUUGUAAACUGCUUUUGUACGGAACGAAAAGACUCUGGUUAAUACCUGGGGUCCAUGACGGUACCGUAAGAAUAAGCACCGGCUAACUACGUGCCAGCAGCCGCGGUAAUACGUAGGGUGCAAGCGUUAAUCGGAAUUACUGGGCGUAAAGCGUGCGCAGGCGGUUAUAUAAGACAGAUGUGAAAUCCCCGGGCUCAACCUGGGAACUGCAUUUGUGACUGUAUAGCUAGAGUACGGCAGAGGGGGGUGGAAUUCCGCGUGUAGCAGUGAAAUGCGUAGAUAUGCGGAGGAACACCGAUGGCGAAGGCAAUCCCCUGGGCCUGUACUGACGCUCAUGCACGAAAGCGUGGGGAGCAAACAGG
rnacentral:rRNA from 1 species